rnacentral:rRNA from 1 species
GACGAACGCUGGCGGCGUGCUUAACACAUGCAAGUCGAACGGAAAGGCCCUGCUUGCAGGGUACUCGAGUGGCGAACGGGUGAGUAACACGUGGGUUAUCUGCCCUGCACUUCGGGAUAAGCCUGGGAAACUGGGUCUAAUACCGGAUAGGAGCCAUUUUUAGUGUGAUGGUUGGAAAGUUUUUUCGGUGUAGGAUGAGCUCGCGGCCUAUCAGCUUGUUGGUGGGGUAAUGGCCUACCAAGGCGGCGACGGGUAGCCGGCCUGAGAGGGUGGACAGCCACAUUGGGACUGAGAUACGGCCCAGACGCCUACGGGAGGCAGCAGUGGGGAAUAUUGCACAAUGGGCGCAAGCCUGAUGCAGCGACGCCGCGUGGGGGAUGACGGCCUUCGGGUUGUAAACUCCUUUCGCUAGGGACGAAGCUUUUUGUGACGGUACCUAGAUAAGAAGCACCGGCUAACUACGUG